AUGGCCCGGGACACGACGGCCCAGCGGAGCCGCAUGCCUCCCGCCGCGCCCGCGCGCAGCACAGACGGGCUGUCGCUCGCCUUCCUGCAGAGCCUGCGCACGCUGUUCCACAUCCUGUACGACCGGCGGCGCGGUUGCGAGCACCUGCGCGAGAUCCAGUCCCGCUGGCAGGGCGCCAACGCGCGGGAGCUGCCCCGCGGGGUCCUGGAGGGCCUGCGCGAAGUGGCCCCGGCCAGCGGCUACCUGACCUUCGAGCGCUUCGUGGUCGGCCUGCGCACCGCGCUGCUGAGCGCCGACGGCGGCCCCCGGGACCCCACCCACGCCCCAGCCCGGCCCGGCCCGGGAACCAGCUGCCGCAGCGCCUGCUGUUCGCGCCGGCCGACGAGCCGCGGAUGGUCCCGGAGAGGAAGCCCCUGCCCCUGGGCGAGCGCGCUUCUCUGGCUUGUCCCAGCCGCGCGGCCCGCAGCCCAGAGCAGCUGUGCGCCCCCGCCGAGGCGGCGCCCUGCCCCGUGGAACCGGAGCGGUCCCAGAGCGCGGUCCUGGAACAGAGCCCCAGCGCGGACGCAGGUGCAGCGACCUGCAGGGCCUUGGAGGCAGACUCAGGGGAUGCCCCGCGGGGCCCAGCGCCCGAGGAGAACGUCAGAGGCACACCAUCACCAGCGGCGUGGACUGCGGCCUGCUGAAGCAGAUGAAGGAGCUGGAGCAGGAGAAGGAGGUGCUGCUGCAGGGUUUGGAGAUGAUGGCGCGGGGCCGUGAUUGGUACCAGCAGCAGCUGCAACGGGUGCAGGAGCGCCAGUGCCGCCUGGGCCAGAGCAGAGCCAGCGCCGACUUUGGGGCCACGGGGAGCCCCCGCCCACUGGGGCGGCUACUGUCCAAGGUACAGGAGGUGACCAGGUGCCUGGGGGAGCUGCUGGCUGCGGCCUGUGCCAGCUGGGCCCUGCCCACGUCCUCCGCCGGGCCCCCUGCUCUGCCCUAAGGUCAACCUCGUCCCCGGGCUGUCAGCAGCAGACCAUCCUCAUGCUGAAGGAGCAGAACUGACUCCUUACCCAGGAGGCGACCGAGAAGAGUGAGUGCAUCACGCAGCUGGAGCAAGAGAAGUCAGCGCUCAUUAAGCAGCUGUUUGAGGCCCGCGCCCUGAGCCAGCAGGACGGGGGGGCCUCUGGACCCCACCUUC
rnacentral:lncRNA from 1 species